GUGGGGAAUCUUCCGCAAUGGACGAAAGUCUGACGGAGCAACGCCGCGUGAGUGAUGAAGGUCUUCGGAUUGUAAAGCUCUGUUAAUCGGGACGAAAGAGCCUAGUGUGAAUAAUGCUAGGAAGUGACGGUACCGGAAUAGAAAGCCACGGCUAACUACGUGCCAGCAGCCGCGGUAAUACGUAGGUGGCAAGCGUUGUCCGGAAUUAUUGGGCGUAAAGCGCGCGCAGGCGGAUCUGCCAGUCUGUCUUAAAAGUUCGGGGCUUAACCCCGUGAUGGGAUGGAAACUAAAGAUCUAGAGUAUCGGAGAGGAAAGUGGAAUUCCUAGUGUAGCGGUGAAAUGCGUAGAUAUUAGGAAGAACACCAGUGGCGAAGGCGACUUUCUGGACGAAAACUGACGCUGAGGCGCGAAAGCCAGGGGAGCGAACGGGAUUAGAAACCCGAGUAGUCC
rnacentral:rRNA from 1 species